rnacentral:rRNA from 1 species
GGAGAUGCCGGUGGCUAUACAUGCAGUCGAGCGACUGACGAGGAGCUUGCUCCUUUGACGUUAGCGGCGGACGGGUGAGUAACACGUGGGUAACCUACCUAUAAGACUGGAAUAACUCCGGGAAACCGGGGCUAAUGCCGGAUAACAUAUCGAACCGCAUGGUUCGAUAGUGAAAGACGGUCUUGCUGUCACUUAUAGAUGGACCCGCGCCGUAUUAGCUAGUUGGUGAGGUAACGGCUCACCAAGGCAACGAUACGUAGCCGACCUGAGAGGGUGAUCGGCCACACUGGAACUGAGACACGGUCCAGACUCCUACGGGAGGCAGCAGUAGGGAAUCUUCCGCAAUGGGCGAAAGCCUGACGGAGCAACGCCGCGUGAGUGAUGAAGGUCUUCGGAUCGUAAAGCUCUGUUGUUAGGGAAGAACAAAUGUGUAAGUAACUGUGCACAUCUUGACGGUACCUAACCAGAAAGCCACGGCUAACUACGUGCCAGCAGCCGCGGUAAUACGUAGGUGGCAAGCGUUAUCCGGAAUUAUUGGGCGUAAAGCGCGCGUAGGCGGUUUUUUAAGUCUGAUGUGAAAGCCCACGGCUCAACCGUGGAGGGUCAUUGGAAACUGGAAAACUUGAGUGCAGAAGAGGAAAGUGGAAUUCCAUGUGUAGCGGUGAAAUGCGCAGAGAUAUGGAGGAACACCAGUGGCGAAGGCGGCUUUCUGGUCUGUAACUGACGCUGAUGUGCGAAAGCGUGGGGAUCAAACAGGAUUAGAUACCCUGGUAGUCCACGCCGUAAACGAUGAGUGCUAAGUGUUAGGGGGUUUCCGCCCCUUAGUGCUGCAGCUAACGCAUUAAGCACUCCGCCUGGGGAGUACGGUCGCAAGACUGAAACUCAAAGGAAUUGACGGGGACCCGCACAAGCGGUGGAGCAUGUGGUUUAAUUCGAAGCAACGCGAAGAACCUUACCAAAUCUUGACAUCUUUUGACCACUCUAGAGAUAGAGUUUUCCUCUUCGGAGGACAAAAUGACAGGUGGUGCAUGGUUGUCGUCAGCUCGUGUCAUGAGAUGUUGGGUUAAGUCCCGCAACGAGCGCAACCCUUGAGCUUAGUUGCCAUCAUUAAGUUGGGCACUCUAAGUUGACUGCCGGUGACAAACCGGAAGAAAGGGGGGGAUGACGUCAAAUCAUCAUGGCCCCUUAAUGAUUUGGGCU